AUAAAGAUGGCUCAUUUUACUUUGAUCUAAUGGAUCCUGACGGCAAGAAAUUUGGGAGAGGGCCCAGAGAACUUACUGGUGCUGCUGAUCUCAUAAGUCACUACAAGUUGUCAGUACACCAUGAGUUCUUCUGCAAGAGGUCACUUCCUUUGUCAAUCUCUGAUACACACUAUCUCCACAAUGUGGUGGGUGACACAGAAAUUAGGAAAGGAGAGGGGAUGGAAUUGGACCAGCUUAUUCAGGACACCUCAUAUGCAAGAGACACAAAUGCGCACAUAAGGCCUUUUGACCUGGAUACUCUCAAAGAAGCCUUUCUGCUGAGAGAAACAACCCCCAUUGAUCUGCCUAUUGCAGAGAAGGGGAUCCCUACCAUUGCAGGUAAAUCAAAAAGUGAAUCUAAAGAUAAGGAGAAGAAACAUAAGAAGCACAAGGACAGGGAUAUGGAGAAGGACAAGGAGCAUAAGAAGCACAAACACCGCCACAAGGACCGGAGUAAAGAUAAAGACAAGGAGAAGAAGAAAGACAAAAGUGGGCAUCACGAUUCUGGUGCUGACCACUCAAAGAAGCAUCAUGACAAGAAAAGGAAGCAUGAUGGGAGUGAAGAUCUUGCUGACAUUCACAAACACAAGAAAAGUAAGCAAAAGAGCACAAAGUUGGAUGAGAUAGGUGCGAUAAGGGUAGCAGGUUGAUGAUGUGUCAUCUAGUCAUCUCUAUUUCUGAUUUCAUAUUUGGUGCGGUUGAAAAUUAGGAAGGGCUUUUCAUGUGCUGACAAUUUUUUUGGUAUCUCUUCUAAGGUCAAGUCUUGGGACUCUGACGACCCUUGAGGAUGAGAAUUCCUGGGGUGAUUGAGUCCCCUGUGGUGAUCUUGUUGUAGGCUCUUAAAGAUUUUUCCUUCUUUUUUCCAAACACAUAUUUGGAUGACUGACUAAUAAUUCUGGUCUAUUAGUUGGAGGGAUUUGAAAAGAUGCAUCUGUAGGUUAAACAGAAUUC